rnacentral:lncRNA from 1 species
GCCCUCCCGACGCCACUCGCCGCCCCCAUCCAUUUUCGCAGCAGACUCGUCCCUAACCCCAGCCCGGAGACUUUCACUUUGUCCCAUGCCUCCCGAGCACCCCUCCCCGCCCCGGUGGGGGCAGCUCCUGGCUCCGAGCCCCCACCUCGGGGCUCCCAGCCUGGUCCCGGGCGGCCGACCCCAGCAGCCACAGGCAUCCUACGCUGUGUGCACACAGCAUAUCACCGGGAGAGACGGCACGGAAAGAUGGCCCUGCCCUCAAGGAGCUGCAGUCUGCCCAGGAAGGCAGACAGAUAAACUGCUAUAGUUUUCCACUAUUGAGCUGAAUUUCGUAUCACCAUCAAAAGUUACCUACCUACAAGUCCCUAGUAGAGAAAAUUUAACUUCUGGCUUUAAAAAAGGGACAGAAAAGCAGGCAGAUCUGCUAGUAAGCAAACUACAGCUCCCCCGAGGAGACACACAGGCAGUGGGUAAGAGGAACAGACCCAUGGCUCCACUGAAGACACAGAGCAGCAGACGAAAAAGACAUGUCCUAAAUGUUAAAUGAAUGUGACAGAAUGAUACCAGGUGACUUCUAAGACUACAUCAUACAAAGCAACACAGCUUCUGCUGGGCUCUCCCUCUCUGGACACGUGUCUUUGAAGCCCUGAGCUGCCAGAUUAAACAGUCCGGCUUGCCUAAAGUCACCACGCUGGAGAGACCAUCAGGGAUGGAGAGGUGCUACAGAAACCCUAGCUAUUCUAGUCCCCAGCCAUUUGAGUCUUCCUAGCCCAGACUCAUAAGUGAAGAAACCUUCAAGAUGAUUCCAAUACCUCCUAUCACUUGACUGCAACCUCGUGAAAGCCUAAGCCAGACCUGCACGGUGGAGCCAUUCCUAAAUUCUGGUCCCACAGAAACUGUGAAAGAUAAUAAAUGAUCAUCAUUGCUUUACAUUGGGCUAAUUUUUAUUAUCAGGGGUAACGUGUUACAUAGCGAUAGGCAACUAAUACAAGAUUCAUUACUAAAACCACUAAAAACUUUAACCUGUUAGUCACUAUUAAUUUAAGCAAACAAAUAAGCAAUCUUCCAAUGAUGCUUCCCCAAUUUGCAUGCCUCUCUAUAACCUUACUCUGCCUUCAUUUUAAGGCCUAGCUCUUAUCACCAUAUGUGAUAUGAUUAGAUAACACGAUAUAGGCUACGUUACUGAAUAUAUGAGGAAAGGGCCUUUGUUUUGUUCACUAUUAUAUCCCCAGCACCUAGAACAGCACUUGACAACAUAUAGCAGGUGCUUGACAACCACUGGUUCAGUACAAGAAUGUAUCUGGAGAUGAUUGGGCUUAGUGUUCCUCCAAGGCUAUUUGACCUCUCAUCACCUGUUCUCCAGUUUGACUCAAC